GUUCCUCCAGAAGCUUCCCGGACCGACUUUUUUGCUCUCUCUUUUCUUCCUCCUGCUUUCUAAACAGCCUCCUUCACUCCCUCAGCCUUCUUCCUCCAGAAGUCUCUAUCUACACCGACGUCAUCUCCUCGAGUCUUCCAGAAUCCAGACUAUCAUCAUCAGCUGCAACUCCCUCUUUCGCUGUCCCAAAACUGAACGAUACACCAGAAUUGAUAUCAUCCCAAAAUAUUUUUCGAAUCCAUCAAUCGUAUCUUACCGGACCAGAAAAAUUAACUCUCCCCAAAUCUCUGUAAUCGGUUAUUUCCAGGGUGUCUGGGUUCGAUCAAACAUCUCUAAUCUUCGUUGAAGAUCCGCGGCUCCACCGGAAGUCUCCGAUUCGGUUAUUUUCUGAUAAGCCUGGACUAUCAAGGUUAGCCACUAAGAUCAACAGCGAUAAAGCCUUUUUUCUUUUGGGAUUUUGUUGUUCGCCCAACACAGAGAAACAGAGAGAGAAGAGAACGGGGAAGAAGGAAAAGAAGGAGAAGAGAGAGACGGGAAGCUCUUGCUUAAAAGAAAACAAGUGAAAGGAUUGGAUGCUUCAAAAUUGAAUACUUGAUCAUAAAGAGUUGUGCUCACUACUACUGUUCCUCUUUCAAGUGAAUUCUCUCUCAGAUCAUCUGUGUUCCAGCAUCAUCAGACUCCUAUUCAAUCUUCAGCAUCAGAGAUCUUUGCAAUCAUCGUCUGCUCUUUGCAUCCGACUUCUAUUCGAUCUUUACCAUCUGUUCUUUUUGUUUAAUCUUGGUGACUGGAUUGGUUUUGGGUAGACGAAGCUUGGGGCCAGCAAGCCUGUUCAGAUUUGCCAUUUAUCAAUUUCCCAAUUUUCAAGGACAGUUUCAGAUUGGAUUGUGGUUUGCAGAAGCCUGAGGGCAUUUUCGAUCACUGUUGACCUUCCAUAAGUCUUUAUAAGAGAUCAACCACUCAGAUACAAAAGACAAGACGGCAAAUCAGAUUGUGUGCGUUUUGGAAAAGCAAAAAAAAUUCUCUACACAUGCUCACAAAAAAAAACUUGGCUGACCAAAACAGAAUUAGCAGGAGGCUACCUGAAACUAAUCAAUUUACAUCUAGAAGAAAAAUGGGCCACACUCUGAUUCGUGAAAUCAAAGCAUCUCAAUUGAAUUUCAACUCCCAAAUUAAAAUUCCACUGAUAGUCUGAGAGGAAGAUUUGACUAAAAUCAAAUAGAAAAGGAGCUUACUGAUUCAGCGAAGCACAAUAGAACGGCUUUGAGUCUGAGUUUAUUUGAGGAUCUUCACUUACAGAGGUUGCUCUCUAGAAAAAGAGAGGAGACAAAACAAAGAGUGAGAGAAGAGAACAGGGAAUAAGGAAAAGAAGCAGAAGAGAGAGGCGGAAAGUUGUUACUCAAAACAAAACAAGUGGAAGGUAUCAAGUGCUCGACAAACCAAGAGAGGCCAACACCUUAUGAAAUGAUUAUCUAAAAGCAUCAAAAGAGCAUUCUACCUGCAACCACUCUUUAGCUGGAGACUGAAACGCAAGACACACCUAAAGAAUAGUUUAUCCCUUGAGUCAAAAAAUGUCUUGGUUGUAUCUAAGCAGACCAUUCUACUUGGUGUGGAGGUAGUGCAGUAGCUGCUCAUGUUCUACAACUGCAGCAAUUGGAUGUUCACUGAUACACAGAAUUGGAAGCUUAAGAUAUUGCGCUCCAAGGAACUUCAUAAUAACAAGCCAAACCGCUAAUUUUCGAGCCAACAUCCAUCAAACAGUUCUCAUUAUUGUCUUUCAUCUAUUGCUUUAUUAGACGAUACAUACCAAGUUUGAUUUGAAGUUAUUGAUUCCAGUGAGAAAUUCGUGUAACAUAUUUUAAUCAUUCUUUAAUGAAGGUGUGCAACAGAAACAUUCUACUAUGUAAUGUUAUCCCAGUAACAUAUAACAGUAAUUCCCGCAGCAAAGCGCGGGCAAAUAUUACUAGUAUUAUACAGUAAUCUUUCAUGA